rnacentral:rRNA from 1 species
GGCCAGACUCCUACGGGAGGCAGCAGUGGGGAAUAUUGCACAAUGGGGGAAACCCUGAUGCAGCGACGCCGCGUGAGUGAAGAAGUAUUUCGGUAUGUAAAGCUCUAUCAGCAGGGAAGAAGAAGGACGGUACCUGAGUAAGAAGCCCCGGCUAACCACGUGCCAGCAGCCGCGGUAAUACGUAGGGGGCAAGCGUUAUCCGGAUUUACUGGGUGUAAAGGGGGCGCAGACGGCGAUGCAAGCCAGGAGUGAAAGCCCGGGGCCCAACCCCGGGACUGCUCUUGGAACUGCGUGGCUGGAGUGCAGGAGGGGCAGGCGGAAUUCCUGGUGUAGCGGUGAAAUGCGUAGAUAUCAGGAGGAACACCGGUGGCGAAGGCGGCCUGCUGGACUGCAACUGACGCUGAGGCGCGAAAGCGUGGGGAGCAAACAGGAUUAGAUACCCGAGUAC